AUGGACCGCUUCCAGGACGGGCACCACGUGCGGCUGCGGAGCCGCGUGCAGCGCACCUACCUCCACGCCGCCGACGACGGGGAGAGCGUCACGCUCAGCCAGCCCCGCGCCUCCAUGAACGCGGCGUGGGCAGUGCACAUCUACGACGGCGGAGACGGCGACGGCGAAGGAGACGGAGACGGCGAUGGAGACCGCGACGGCGGUGGCCCGUACCUGCUCCUCCACAACGCCGCCUACGGCCGCUACCUCGCCGCCACGGCCAGGCCGGCGCGGCGCGGCCACAACGGCCUCCGCACGGAACUGCGCGACUACGAUCAGCCGGAGGUGGAGGCCAUCAUCUACCUCCGCGCCAACGGCAAGUACCUCCCCUGGAACUCCGCCGGCGUCACCGUCGACGACAAGGCCAGCUCCAUGAUGUACUGGAUCGUCGAGCCCAUCCCCUUGAGAGAGGCGGGCAUGCCUGCCAUUCCUGGCCCGCUUCCGACUCCCCUAAUAGACCUCUCCGCCAUAUUCACGCGCCGGGGAGCGGAACGGGAGAUCCGAGGCGUCGAGCCCAUCCCGGGAGAGGCGGCCAUGCCUGCCGAUCAUAGCCCGAAUCGCCCGAUAUUCUCCGCCAUAUUUAGUUCUCCCGGACGGCGCAUCCGGUUCGUGCUGGCGCUCGAGGACGGGCACUACCCCGAGGACCCCGAGGACGACGGCUGGCGCCAGUUCUGGUUCAGGGGGAGGUCCGCGUUCAGCCUGAGAGGCUACCUGGCGGCCCACAUCGACGAGGACGACCCGAACAUCGCCAUGUGCGUCCGAGCGGGCCGCCAUGGGAGGCUGACCCCGCUCGUCGUCGACCUGCCCAACGGUGGCUAUGGUGGGACCCUUGAGAUCGUCGUCUUCCUGGCCGGGACCCCUGGCUACGACACGCUGCGAUACCCGGAUGUCGAUGCACAGUAG
rnacentral:rRNA from 1 species